UUCUACUGACUGAGCCAGCCAGGGGCACCUCAAGGUGUUUUGUUAAAAGAAGAAAAAUUAAAAGAGAUAAGGGAGUGAGAAGGGAACAGAGCUAUAAAUGCCGUUGCCAAGGAGUGGGGCACUUGCUUUGGUUAGCUCCAAGACUGGCUUAUUGCAGCUGUUACCUCUGAACACAAGCAAAUGAUUACCUGACCUUUAGGAAAUUUCUACCAGAGGGCAGAGUCUAUUUAGAUUUGAGGUAAAGGGAGGCUCAAAGAAGGGAAAAAAUAAGAGUAGAUUCAACUCUUGCCUCCAUUUAGGAACAAGAAUCUGGCAAACUGAGCUCCAGUCAACAGUGGCCUCACAGGGUCAGGAGAGAGGCAUGCUCAGAGAAAACACGGGGAACAGGAAGGAAAGCAGGAAGGAAGAGAGACACGUUCAAACCGACAUGCUUUACUGAACGCCAGAAGCACAGAUACACUUACAUGCAAGAGAUGAAACUGUCCAGCUCCCACCAGGCAUAGGAAAAAAGAAGGAGCCCCAAAGAAAGAAGCCAUCUUUCCUCCUCACCUUUCCUCGGAUCAAAGCUUUGAAAGCAAUUCGUACAAUUAGGUAGGACCAGAUGAUAUGCAGAACCUGCAGGAUCAGGAGAAGGCCAUUGAAGAGCCACCAGGAGGGAUAAGGCCCAAUCAUCUCCCAACUCUCAAAGAAGGUCGUGUUCAGAAUCCUAGAAGAGGAGGCCAGUGAUUUUACUUACUUACUUGCCAGAGAGAGAGAGAAUGAG